GUGAGGAAUAUUGGUCAAUGGGCGGGAGCCUGAACCAGCCAAGUCGCGUGAAGGAAGAAGGAUCUAUGGUUCGUAAACUUCUUUUGCAGGGGAAUAAAGUGCAGGACGUGUCCUGUUUUGUAUGUACCCUGAGAAUAAGGAUCGGCUAACUCCGUGCCAGCAGCCGCGGUAAUACGGAGGAUCCGAGCGUUAUCCGGAUUUAUUGGGUUUAAAGGGUGCGUAGGUGGUUUGAUAAGUCAGCGGUGGAAGUUUGCAGCUUAACUGUAAAAAUGCCGUUGAAACUGUCGGACUUGAGUGUAAAUGAGGUAGGCGGAAUGCGUGGUGUAGCGGUGAAAUGCAUAGAUAUCACGCAGAACUCCGAUUGCGAAGGCAGCUUACUAAGCUACAACUGACACUGAAGCACGAAAGCGUGGGGAUCAAACAGGAUUAGUUACCCGUGUAGUCC
rnacentral:rRNA from 1 species